GAGGGGGUGACUAGUGACAGAGGGAGGGAGGGAGGGAAGGGGUGACUAGUGACAGAGUGAGGGAGGUUGUGAUUAGUGACAGAGGGAGGGAUGGGGUGACUAGUGACAGUCACCACCUCCUUCACUCUGUCACUAGUCACCCCCUCCCUCACUCUGUCAUUGUGUCACCCCCUCUCUCACUCUGUCACUAGUCAUCCCCUUCCUUACUGUCACUAGUUACCCCCUCCCUCUCUCUGUCACUAGUCCCACCCUCCCUC